rnacentral:sRNA from 1 species
GCUUCGGCUACAGGGGAACGCCCCCCAGAUA